rnacentral:misc_RNA from 1 species
CUCAUUCUCAGUCAGAAAAGUCAGUUCUACUUACUUUUGUUCUCACGUUCGAUCAAAAUCAGUACAUUAUUAGUACACCAUCAGUUAUUCAGUAGUGUUAACUGUUUACGACUCACACUAAUAGUUGUAUGUUAUAAGUUAUAUAUUUAUUUAUGUAGGACUUUAUUAUUCUCGUGCAGGAUUUAAUGGAGAUGGAAGUUUCACUAUUCCCAGCUCGUAGCCUAACCUUCUCGAGGUGAUAUUAUGACAUAUUGCUGGUCUCUCAUAGAAGGACUGAAGGAAUCGAGAGAGGAUUACGUUUGAUUCUCUACGUACCUAUUCAGAGAACGGAAAAAAGUUUGUUCAUAAGGAGCCUCGUCAAAGGGCUCGAAUGAUGCGCAUAAGGAGUCAUGCAACGACAGCAGACCGAGCAGACGGAGACUCACUGCAGCGUUAGAGAACUUGACCUUACGCUGCAGCCGCGCGUCGUGCCCAGGUACAAAACCUGGCUGGUACUUGCUACCCAACAGCUCCGUUUGAGAAGUUUAAUUGAAAUCAUAGGAUACAAGUUAAGGACAAACGAGAUAAAGGAGAAAUGUUGGUUUUACUACACUCUGCAUAGAACAAGUAUGUCCUCCCCUUUAUAUACUAGCGAGCCAAUAGACAACAUUAGUCCCAAAUGGGCGAGUCUUGAAGUGCCUACAUUGUACAAUACAGGUCAUUCAAAUGCAAGUGAAAUCAUUAUUAGGCUAUGGAAGAAAAAAAACAACGAAAAUCCACAGUCUGAUCUCACUAUAUUUACAUGGGGUAUAUCUUUCACUGGCUUAGCAUACAUUGGACCAAAGUUACCAGCCAAUUUGGAAAAAAUUUUACUAAGUUGCUCUCUUAUAUUCCAUCUGCAUGGUGGAUAUUUUGUACCUCCCUUCUGUCUUAUUACCAGUCCAGAUGUUAAAAAGUUCCUUGUAAUGGGAAUUAGUGCAUCAGAAGUAAGAAACAGUUACACUGUCAGCAAACUGAGCAGUUUGAGAAAUAAAAUGCAAGCCUUAAAACAGCAGACUGAUUCGGUACAAAGUUUGAAAGAAAAAAUAGCAUCUGGAGAAAGUUUAAAUGUCCCAAAGUAUCCACAGUCGACUCUAAACAGAUUGCUUCAACCAAAAAGGAUAAGUAGGGAAAAAAAAGCGGAAAUUUUGAGGAUACGUAAGGAUCUCGAGGUAGCCAAAUUCCGAACUAAAUUGUUAGAACAUGAACGAGUAAAAAAAAUGGGAGAGCUCAAGUCAUUGAAUCAGUCUCAUUCUCAGUUGAUGGAACAAAAUCAAGAACGAGGUUUUAAAUUAAUGGACAAGUACAGAGAGUUAAACAAAGACAUGGAAAAACUAAAUGAGUGGCGGCAAAAUCACGCGGACAAAGGAGAUACUUAUAUACAAACGACUGCCCGUCUCGCUCAUCGACGAAAGCAACUUAUUUCCGAAUUAAACUGCAUUUAUCCUAUCAAACUGGAAGCAGAAGAUAAGUUUACGAUUAAUAACGUGCAUUUACCGGACAGCGAAAGGUUGGAUCUUGCAAACGACACUCAAGUUGCUGUUGCUCUGGGAUUCGUUGCCCACACUACUCAAAUGAUCGCCAAUUUUUUAAAUGUACCAACUAGGUAUCCAAUCAUUCAUUACGGUUCUCGCAGCAAAAUCAUUGAUCACAUCAAUGAAAAUCUUCCAGAUGCAGAUCGACAGUUUCCUUUGUUUGCUCGAAGCAAAGACAAAUUGCAAUUUCAUUAUGCUGUGUACCUUUUGAACAAAAACAUAGCCCAGCUGCGAUGGUAUUGUGGACUGUUGACGUCUGAUCUACGAGCAACCUUGUCAAAUUUAUCGGGACUAAUCAACGUUAAACCAUGCAACACGUUGGACAGCUCUAGAAGAACAUUUUCUGGUUCGUCGUUAGAUAUGGAUUUGGGCAGUGGCAAAAGCAGUUUUCCUCCGACAAACAAAUCCUUGUUUGAUAAGUAUCACAGAACAACCAAAACGAUGCUUGGCUCGUCACUUGACCAAGGAUUAAAUCAGUCUAUGAUACGAUCAAAAUUCCUGAAUAAUCAGUCCAAAAGAAUAUGUAAGUCCGAGGAAAGCGCCUUAAACAUAUGUAGUAUAAGUAGUGGCGAGACUUUUAACGAUAGUGCUAUUUUUGAUAAAUCAAUGAACGAGAUGAGCCAAGGCCAAGCUAAUGGUAACAGUGAAAUUGAUAUCGAAAUAAUGGUGCCAAUGUCUGUGUUAAAUCCAAAGUUCAGAUCCGAUAGUAUUGAAAAUUCUGCUUGUCCAAGACAGAGAAGCUCUAAUUCAGUCAGUAGCUGUGAAAUGGCGUUGAGCUGCAGUUUAGCAGAUGGAGAGGAAAGUUCAAAUGGAAAUUCUGCCAAGACAGAGGACAAUGGAGAUCAAGUUUCUGCGAGUCGGGAAAACGAUAGCAAUAGUUUUCCUAACACUUUAAAAUCUGGAAACGAGAGCUUGGCAAAAAAAUUUAAUGUAAAUUCAACUUCGAUUCAAGGUCCAUUGUUGAAAAAAGUAGCCAAAUCAAGUCAUUCUUUGUAUAACAAAAACGAUUGUGAUGGUGAACACAUAUACUUAAAAAGUAGCUCGGAACAAACUUUGAUUUUGAAAGAAUAUGAAGUUACAUGUGAUCCAGAAAAAAGGCACGUUGAAGUAAAUCCUGAGAAGUAGACACAAUGAGAUUGCCAAAGAACUUGUUAAUGAACCAGUCUGUGAUCAACUGUUAAAGGUACCCACAAAUUUAUGUAAAGUACAGAACAAGCUGAAAUUGCAAGAUUUCACAUCGUCCACGUAAUGUAUAGAUUUCCUAAGACAAAGUUCUGAGAACAUUUUCGCACUCACUUAGCAAAUAAGACUAAGAGACCGUGACUGUAAAAUUAUGAACUAUGAAAUACAAACUAUUACUUUUUUUGUGUAAUUUGAUCUGUACAGUUAUUUUUCGCAAAGAGAUAUAAGUAAAUAUAAAUAAAUGCAGUCAGAUCAUAGAACAAAAAAAAUUAAUUUUUUUUUUCAAUUUGAUAUUGUACAUAUUGCGUUAAAAACUUAAACGUUUGCAAGUCUCUUUUAAAUUAAUUGACAUCUACA